ensembl:lncRNA
AUGGGGUGUCCGAGCCCCGCAAGGCUGCAGCUCGGGUCCGCUGUCGUCCACGAACGCCUUUUCCAGCAGCAACUUUACAGCAAAGGACAAAAACAGAUACUUUAUGUGUUCUUUCUUCAACAUGACACCAACAGGAGCAAUGGGGGAUCCCACUAGAGCUGACGGCUGUGUUCCUGAACCCGAUGGCACGGAGAGGAACGACCACGAAAGAUCGACAUUCCUUCUCUCUGAAGCAGGAUAGAGAACGGCCCUCUGGGGAAAUUAUAUCCUCAUGUAUAUUAUUUUUUAUUUCCUAAAUCAUGUAUAUCCUUAUUUUUUAUGGUUAUGGCGAGCGGUACAGAUGAAUUAUGACGCUGGGGCUGUUUCCCCAUCUAUGUGAUUAAUAACAUUUAGAAAAACCUGGGACUCUAAGCCUUGAAUGAUAUGUCUUCGGAGGGGGCGGCAGUAAAGACACUCAGCACCUCAAGACAGACCUGACAGACUGGAGCUUCACUAAAGACCCACAUGUCUGUGUUUGCAAACUCCACAGGGGCCCUCGGGGGUCCCGCGGCAGCGGCACGUCUUCCACUUGUCCACUUCUACUUUACACGGCUGGACUCUUUCAUUCUUCUGUGAAUUCCUGUGAACGAACCCAUCAAGAAAUGUCCACAGUUACUGACACCCAGUGUGACAAACACUAGAGCAGUAUGUGUUUUUAAAGGCCGAUACCAAUGUCAGGGUUCCAAAAUUGGUGUCGAAGCAUUUUUUCACUCAAAAAUUCAAUAAAAUUCACCAAAAAAAAAAUUUAAUAAAAAAAUUGGGUGAGGAAAC